rnacentral:tRNA from 1 species
GCGGGAGUAACUCAGUGGUAGAGUGCAACCUUGCCAAGGUUGAAGUCGGGGGUUCGAAUCCCCUCUCCCGCUCCA